rnacentral:antisense_RNA from 1 species
AUAGGCUUUUUUUUUUUUUGAGGAAAAAGAAGAAAGAGAAAGAGACAAAGGAAAAGGAGAAAGACAAGAGAGGAAGAAGCAGGAGGAAAACAGUGGAGAGAAGAAGAAAAAAGAGAAAAAAUAAAUUACAGCUAUCUGGGCUUCCAUGGGAGUGCCAACUCUGACAGCUGAGACAUCUCUGACUUGGCUCUUUCACCUCUUGUGCAAGGGAAGAACAGCACUAUUUUUAAAGGAGGUCAUUAGUUUUGGAAAUCACUAGUGGGUAAAAAAGACCAAUUUGCAACUAGGCUCUCAUGCUCUAUUGAAAACUAUGUCACAAUAUCACAAUACUAGAUGCUGGGCUCAAGAGAGCAAACAGAAAGCAGCAAGGGCAGUGACUGGAAGCUGGGAGAGAGGGUCAACAGCUGAAUCUCAGCCUGAUGGAGGCCACCAUUUAAUAAGUAAAUACAUGCACAGCUAUUUAGAUCCUGCAUCAGACCGCUUCCUCAGACAGGUCAUCAGAAAACAUGAAGCUAAAUGCAGUAAAGAAUUACUCUCUUGAACUCUUGAAAAUAUCAUUUUCUUAUAGAAAUGGUUUAAAAAUUUCUUUUUUAUUAUUUUCCUUCAGAAAAUUGUGAGUUUUAACCUACAACACGUACACUCCAAGGUAAUGCCACUCUAAUGCUGUCUAGUUGAUCUGAAUAACUGGUAAAUUAUCAGAUCCACCAAACUCUCUGGAGAUUAACUUCUGCCAGCAUAUUG